CAGUCGCCGCGGGAAUACGUAGGUCCCGAGCGUUGUCCGGAUUUAUUGGGCGUAAAGCGAGCGCAGGCGGUUAGAUAAGUCUGAAGUUAAAGGCUGUGGCUUAACCAUAGUACGCUUUGGAAACUGUUUAACUUGAGUGCAAGAGGGGAGAGUGGAAUUCCAUGUGUAGCGGUGAAAUGCGUAGAUAUAUGGAGGAACACCGGUGGCGAAAGCGGCUCUCUGGCUUGUAACUGACGCUGAGGCUCGAAAGCGUGGGGAGCGAACAGGAUUAGAUACCCCAGUAGUCCCUGUCUCUUAUACA
rnacentral:rRNA from 1 species